UACGUAGGGUCCGAGCGUUGUCCGGAAUUACUGGGCGUAAAGAGCUCGUAGGUGGUUUGUCGCGUUGUUCGUGAAAACUCACAGCUCAACUGUGGGCGUGCGGGCGAUACGGGCAGACUAGAGUACUGCAGGGGAGACUGGAAUUCCUGGUGUAGCGGUGGAAUGCGUAGAUAUCUGGAGGAAUACCGGUGGCGAAGGCGGCAUCCUGGACCGGCAUUGACGCUGAUGAGCGAAAGCUAGGGGAGCAAACGGGG
rnacentral:rRNA from 1 species